GUAGGGGGCAAGCGUUGUCCGGAUUUAUUGGGCGUAAAGAGCGUGUAGGCGGCUUCACAAGUCCGCUGUGAAAACUCGAGGCUCAACCUCGAGCUGUCGGUGGAAACUGUGAGGCUAGAGUCCGGAAGAGGAGAGUGGAAUUCCCGGUGUAGCGGUGAAAUGCGCAGAUAUCGGGAAGAACACCCGUGGCGAAGGCGGCUCUCUGGGACGGUACUGACGCUGAGACGCGAAAGCGUGGGGAGCGAACAGGAUUAGAUACCCUGGUAGUCCACGCCGUAAACGAUGGGUGCUAGGUGUGGGGGGUGUCGACUCCCUCCGUGCCGAAGCUAACGCAUUAAGCACCCCGCCUGGGGAGUACGGCCGCAAGGCUA
rnacentral:rRNA from 1 species